rnacentral:rRNA from 1 species
CACUCCUGCGGGAGGCAGCAGUGGGGAAUUUUACGCAAUGGGGGAAACCCUGACGUAGCGACACCGCGUGAGCGAAGAAGCCCUUUGGGGUGUAAAGCUCUGUCAGCUGGAACGAAAACAAUGACGGUACCAGCAGAGGAAGCAUCGGCUAACUACGUGCCAGCAGCCGCGGUAAGACGUAGGAUGCGAGCGUUGUCCGGAUUUAUUGGGCGUAAAGAGUUCGUAGGUGGUUUGUUAAGUUUGGUGUUAAAGAUCGGGGCUCAACCCUGGGACUGCACUGAAUACUGGCAGACUCGAGUGUGGUAGAGGCUAGUGGAAUUCCCAGUGUAGCGGUGAAAUGCGUAGAUAUUGGGAAGAACACCGGUGGCGUAGGCGACUAGCGGGGCCAUAACUGACGCUGAGGAACGAAAGCCAGGGGAGCGAAUGGGAUUAGAAACCCGAGUAGUCCCAUGA